GUGGGGAAUUUUGCGCAAUGGGCGAAAGCCUGACGCAGCAACGCCGCGUGAGUGAUGAAGGCUUUCGGGUCGUAAAGCUCUGUCAGGGGGAAAGAAGUGUAUUGCGGCUAAUAUCCGCGAUACUUGACGGUACCCCCAAAGGAAGCACCGGCUAACUCCGUGCCAGCAGCCGCGGUAAUACGGAGGGUGCAAGCGUUGUUCGGAAUUAUUGGGCGUAAAGCGCGUGUAGGCGGUUUGCUAAGUCUGAUGUGAAAGCCCCGGGCUCAACCCGGGAAGUGCAUUGGAAACUGGCAGACUUGAAUACGGGAGAGGGUAGUGGAAUUCCUAGUGUAGGAGUGAAAUCCGUAGAUAUUAGGAGGAACACCGGUGGCGAAGGCGGCUGCCUGGACCGAUAUUGACGCUGAGACGCGAAAGCGUGGGUAGCAAACAGGAUUAGAAACCCGAGUAGUCC
rnacentral:rRNA from 1 species